rnacentral:lncRNA from 1 species
GUAUUCUGAAAGAUGGGAGGACAAAGACCCAAUUCCAUCAGCAGCCAUUGGAAGUUUUUGACAAAAUGGGAAGAUCACUGCUGUAUAUUUGUAGUUUAAAUAGCGAGCAUUUAAAGCUUUCUCUGAGGCAGUUUCUGGAAAGUUAAAGACUAAUGAGAAAAACAGCUGAAGAAACUCUCCCCAAUGAGUUUAUGUCCCUAAGCGAUGAAUUUUUGAAUGGUGCAAUGUUCUAACAUGUGAUGGACAGCGAAUUCCCAGAGAAUCAUCAAGUACACUUUGGAAUAAAUGAACAGCAGGACAUAUUUUUUAAGGAGUGCUGAGCCGCAGUAAAACUCCAGAGAAUGCUCUAAUUUCUUGAUUUAUUUCCUGGAUUUCCUCCUAAUAAACAAAGAAUGAUGAAAGCAAAUAUGCAAGGGCCAAGUUUCUACGGUCCAGCAAUCACAGAAUCAUUAAUGCUGUGAUGCUUCCAAGAAUAUGGGCAAACAGCAAGAGAAAGAAACUAGUAAACUUUGAAGAAAUCCCUUUGAGAAAAUUUUUAAAUGAUCCAGGAUAAAUAGAAAAUAAUGUGCUGCUGUUCAGAUAAAUUUACUGGAGAAACCACAAAGAUGAGAUUGUUAAGGAAGAGUCAAGGGAUGGGGACUAUAAAAUGCAUAUGCUUCUCCAGAUAACACUGAGUUUUCAGAGUGGCAACCAACAUUGCAGCUUUGAAAAGAAAAAAAAACACUUGGAAAGUGAAAAAGAAAGAGGGGAAAUUAUAUGUACAAUUAUCAGAAAAGCAACAUCUGAGAAUUCAGCAAUCACUAGCACAUAUGUGUGUUCUGUUUCGUUUAAACUCAGCUUCUCACCCUUGCUCAGGAUGCCCUCAGUGAACUGCCUGUGGGUCUUUCUGUUGUUGCACAGCCCCUCUUGAUGUCUUCCUAGUUGGAAAUGCACACUGUCUGCAAGAUUCCAGGCAGAUGCUUUCUCCUGCACAAGUAUUUCCCUGACCUCUACCUGGAAGCAAUUUCUCCUACUUCCUGAAACCCAGAGGAGAGUAUCUCUACUUCUCUAAUUAACAAAACUGCUUCCCCACCCACCAUGGUUACAUACCGAGAUAUAGAAGAACCAGAAACAUUGUGAAGUCAGCAUUAUUAUCCCCAGCUUAAUAAAAUUGAAAUUCAAGAUGCUUAAGUGACAAAGUGUAUUAUGGAUUGAAGUGUGUUCUCCAGAAAGAUAGAUGUUGAAGUCCUAACCCUCAGUCGCAGUGGAUGUGAUCUUAUUUGGAAAGUCUUUGCAGAGUUAAUUAAGAAAAGGCCAUCACAGUGGACCCCAAUCUAGCAUCACUUGUAUCUUGGUAAGAAAAGGAGAACAUGAUGUGAAGAUAGAUGUAUACAGGGAGAGCACCAUGUGACAGCAGAGCCCGAGACUCAAGUGAUGCGUCUUCUGGUCAAGGAAUGCAAAACAAGCAUGGCCACCAUCAGAAGCAAGAAGAGGCAAAAAAAGAUUCCACCUAGCGUCUUGGAGGGAGCAUGGCCCUGCUAACACCUUAAUUUUGGACUUCUACCCUCUAGAGCUGUGGGAGAAUUAGUUUCUGAUUUUAUUAAGCCACCAGGCUGUGGUACUUUGUUACGGAAACUCUAGGACCAAGAUAUAAGACCCAGUCUAACCUCAAAAUCUGAUUUUUAUAUUACACAGACCAUUCCACUUCUGAACACAAUAUUUGGAUUAUUUUUUGUGUUGUGUAAAUUAGUUUGCAUGGACACUGUCUUAGGCAAUUUAGGCUGCUAUGAGAAAAUACCAUAAACCAGGUGGCUUACAAACCACAGAUAUUUAUUUCCUCACAGUUUUGGAGGCUGGGAAGUCCAAGACCAAAGCACCAGCAGGUUCAGCGGCUGGUGAGGGCCUGCUUCCCCAUAGGCAGUGCCUUCUCUCUGUGUCCUCAUGUGGUGGAAAGGCUGAGGGGUCUCUCUGGGGCCUUUUUAUCAAGGGCCCUAACUCCAUUCAUGAGGGCUUCACCCCCACUUCCUAAAAUUAUUACCUUGUGGGUUAGGACUUCAAUACAUAAAUUUUGAGUGGGGACACACAGCUAUUACUGACUGGUAAAAGCAUUUUUUUUUUCAUCAAAAAAUUUCCCAAUUACCAAGAGCAACUUGGAAGACCAAACAGAAGUCAGGUUCUGGCUGUUGCUGGACAAAGUAGGGCUGCACAUACCUAACUGAUAAUUAGCUUAAUUUAGGUCACUGUGUUUCAGUCAGAAGAGAGCAGAAUAACAUAAGAACAAAAGGAGUAGUUGCUAUUUAUGUAAGAGUAAUGAGAGUGCCAAAGACAAUGUUCAUUGCACUCUUGAAUUACAAUAUGAGUCCUAAGACUAGAAGGAAGAUAAAGGGGUAAAUUGUAAAAAUUAAAAGAGGAAUCUAGGCCGGGCAUGGUGGCUUAUGCCUGUAAUCCCAGCACUUUGGGAGGCUGAGAUGGGAGGAUCGCCUGAGGUCAGGAAUUCGAGACCAGCCUGGCCAACAUAGUGAAACCCUGUCUCUACUAAAAUACAAAACAUAGCUGGGCAUGGUGGCAUGAGCCUGUAGUCCCAGCUACUCAUGAGGCUGAGGUAGAAGAAUUGCUUGAACCCAGGAGGUGGAGGUUGCAGUGAGCUGAGACCAUGCCAUUGCACUCCAGCCUUGGCGAAAGAGCGAGACUCCAUCUGAAAUAAAUAAAUAAAUAAAUAAAUAAUAAAAAAGGAAUCUACAAAAAUCCAGAGGGCAAUGGUAGAGUGAAGCAAAAAUAAAAGUUGAGAUUUGAGAAGAAUGAUUCAGAAGCAAAGUUUAUUGCCAUGUGAAGGAGCAUUUGCCUAAAAAUGAUACUAAGGAGAGGGGGAAAAAAAAACAGAAAAGUAUAGAGUCAUGAGAUCCAAGGAAUAAAAGGUAUUUUAACAGACAGGUGAGAAGGUGUGAAUUUUGAAUUAUCUGUUGGACUUAGGAAAAUGGAGACCCUCAGUGAUCUUAGCUGGGACUGUUUUGGUGGCAUAGAGGGAGCAGCAGCCAGAGUAGAACAGGCAGAGAAGGCAGUCGGAGGUGAUGAUGGAACAGACGCUGGAGGGAUGGAUUAUUGAGUGGACACUGAUGUGGCAUUGAUACAGUAUUUUAUACAAUGGGAGAGACUGAAACAUCUUAAGUGUUGCUAGAAAGAACCUAGCUCUAAGAGAGAUAAAAUAUACAAGACAGAAGAGAAAUAAUAAAUAACGUUUCCUGAGAAGGGCACGCUAUAUUUUGACAGUGUAGCACAAUUCAGCUUUUAAAACUUCAUAAAUAUUAUUAGCUGUAUCAUAUCAGAUUGUGAAAACUUACUUGUAAGUUUAACUUUCUAAUAUAGAUUAUCAUAUUUUAUGAAAUAUUUUUUCUGCAUUUGAGAGCAUUUAUUACCUUUGAAUGGAAUGGAUUACAUUAAUAGUUUCUGAGUUUACAUCACAACCGCAUUUUCUAGAUAAAUCACAUUGUAUUAUGAGAAAUAUACUACUGAUUCUAUUUAUCAUUAGUUCUGUCUGAAUCCAUGUUCAUACAUUAAUUUCUCCAUAUUUGUCUUUUCUUUUAUUCUUGGACAAGUUUGUGUGCCAAUGUUAUACUGGUGUCUAAAAUGAGAUAGAAUUUGUUCAUUUUCUGAAGUAGCUUGUGUAAAAUAGAGAAUUUAUCUCUUUUAGAAUGACACAUUUGUAAAACCAUCUGGGUCUGCUGUAUUGGGAUGGGACACUGGUAGGGAUAUACUUGUGAUGAUAUUUCAUGGUUGAUUCAUUUUCUGGAGUGGCUAUUGUUUUCUUGAGACAAUCUUGAUUCCUAACUGUUUACUAAAAAUAUUAUUUGUUUUUGAAUAUUUUGCAUAAAGUUUUUCAUAUUAUUCUCUUAUUACUCUUCAUUUCUAUCUUUAGAUAUGCUCCCUUUUCUUUUCUAAAAUUGUAUAUUUGUGCACCGUCUGUGGAAAUUUGCUGAUUUCAUUAGUCUUCUCAAAGAUCUUGUCAUGAUUGUAAAUGUGAGGAAAAUGGAAGGGCACAACAGCAAAAGGGCUUGGAGAUCCCACUCUGAUUGGCAGUAGAGCCAGGUCUCCUGAUGCCCAGCCUAUGAACUCCCCCUUGGACUUGCUGCCUUGCCCUAGCGUACUACCCUAAUUCACUUAAACUUAUGCUGAGGCAAACAAAGUUUUUACUUGGUUAUGUGCGGGUAGAAAAAGCUGCAAUGUGACACUAAGUGCAAGUGUAAACAGAUUGGAAGCAAUGACUCCUCACCCUGCAUUGAACCCCGCAAAGAGUCCUCAGUGUUUCAUGAACAAAACCAAGGAACAAACAGAACCCCACCAACAACAGUUGUCAUCCAUCAAUACCAAGCCACACCCAUGGAACAUAAAUGUGAAGGCCAAUAUGGGGUUCAGAAUGUUGCCUUGUAUUGGAAAGAAGAAUAUGCUCAUAAAAUUUCUAGAUGUGCUUUUUAACCAUUGAGUUUUGCUAGGUUUAAGAUGUACCUUUAACUCAGUGGACCUAAUUUUUCUUUAAAACAUUUUAAUGUAGAGUGUUUCUUUAAAACACUUUAACAAAAGAGAAAAAAUGUGAUAGAUUCACUUACAGUGAAAGACAAUGAAAUGUCUCUUGUGAUGGCAAGCAAUAGCAAAUAAUUAAGAAAAAUGCUUCUGACUUCUUUCUGUAAUUUGCAACCCUUUCCAGCAAGAGACAUUUAUUUAUUAAAGUUCUCAAGAGGAAUUCUCACUGUGAGAAAAUGACAAUGCUAUUUAUUUAACCCAAAUGGGAAAUAUCCAUAAAAUUUUCUUCUCUUUAUCUACCACAUUCAAUUUGACAGUAAUGUUUAUAAAUAUAAAUGAUAUCCGCUCCACAGAUCUUAGCAUACAUCUUUAAUCUUGAAAAUAGUAACACUCUUAGAACCUAGAUUGCCCAAAAUAGCCACAUAAUUUAACACUACCUGGUUCAUUCAACAUGUCCAAAAUUGAAUGCAUUCUUUUCCCAAGCAAAAUGGCCACAAAACUUCUCUGUUUCUUUAGUAGUGACUGCUGGUUAUCUAUCCAGUAUCUGUUUAGUUCUUCUCACAUAGAAUCAAAACCUUCAUUUUAUUUUAGGGUGGUCAGAAGCCUGGAUAAAGACUGCAUUGACCAAACACUCUUGUAGCUAGUUAGCGUCAUGUGAAUACUUCCAGGUGAUGUAAUAUAAGCCUAAGUAUGCAGGUGAGGUUGCCAGGGAAGCUCUUCAAAUAGAUGUGCUAUUAUCCCCUUAGUCCAAUUUUUCUUUUAUUUCAUCUUUGAAUAUUGUGAUAGCUAGAGAUCUAGCGGCCAUUCUGGAAUGUAAGAGAAAUUCUAAAAAUGAGACACCUGGGUUCUUGAUGUCUACAGAAACCACUAUAUUAGCUAUCGUUCUCCAACAUAAUAAGCAAGCAUCCAUUGCUCAUUAAAUAUUUUCCAUUUGCUCUGAUAUUCAUAGCCUCAGAUGUCAUUUCCCCCAUUCUCAAUCUGCAAAGGCCCAAGCAGGUGGUAACUAUCUCACGAGAUUUGUUCCCACAUCCUCCAUGAGAGUGAAUCAUUCCGACCCCAUGUCAGGGAGUACUCCUUGCUUGUAGAUCUCAUCUUGCCAUCUCCACCUGCUUAAGUGCUCCUCAAGGACAAUGAUUGUGGCUCUGCUAUUGAUUAGUCCACCACCCCAUGUUUAUAGUACCCACUACCUACUUAUGUGCAUGGAAUGAGAUCAAAGGUGUUAGUUGAAGGAAUGAAUGUGUGUUUGAGUGUGCAUACAUGUGCAUGUGUGAGUAUGUAUGCUUGUAUGUGCAUGUGUGCAUAUGUAUGUCUGUGUGUAUGUGUGAAAGGGCUUUGAAUUAUUCAAGUGUGUGAAAUUGAGUUGUAACAAGUCAUCAAAAAAAUCCACUGAGCUGAAAUAAUGCAGCAGGCCAAAGCAAAAGCCAAAGGAGAAACAUAGUUAACCCAGUUUGAAAAUUUAAAGUGUCUGUAACUCCUACUUAGGCAGAAACAUUUGUGAUUAUGCUAAUAUUCAUGUCAUUCUCAUUAACACUAAUAGUGUGCCUAUGGGGGGAGGUUGUGGGGUAUGUAUGUGGCUGUGUAUUUUCUAAGAUGUUUUGUAAGAUGUCAUGUUGAGCUAUUUUUCAAUUCAAUGCUUAUUAAAUAAACUACCUAUGACC